AUGGCUGGCAGCAAGAAGGUGGCUGCGGCCGGCGGCAAGGACCGCUUCGAGGACCUCCCGGAGCAUGUGCUCGAGCUGCUGCUGUUGUUCCUGGACGCGCGAGAUGUCGUGAGGACGUCCGUGCUCGCUCGCCGCUGGCGCGACCUCUGGAAGUCGGUGCCGGUCCUGCGCUUCCGUCCUUCUUCCAAGUUCGGAUGUGCUGAGAACUUCAACAAUUUUGUGAAUAUGGUGCUCGAGUGCCGUGAUCAGACCUCACCUCUUCGUGAAUGCCAUGUCCAUUCAUAUCUGGAUGGUGAAGAAGACGAGACACACCGUGAUGUUGAAUCGUGGGUACAGUAUGCUGUCUCAUGCCAAGUGUCGGUGCUUCGAGUUCUGAUGUGGGGUGAUCAUCAUUGUAAUUUGGGGCUAUCCAACGACAGCGUCAUCUCCGAGCACUUGACAAAGCUAGAGCUUUAUGGUGUGGACUUUGAGGAAAGCCCUCUAGAUCUUUUGAGCUGUCAGGCACUAGAGGUUCUACAUAUAGAUGGUUGUUGUCUCAACCCUGGGGGUCUGGUCACGUUUGAACUACAGCACUGUGAAGAGUGGACUCCGAUUCUUGAGAGCAUGCCAUUAUUGGCAACAUCAUCUAUCAUUAUUGGCUUUGAAUGCAAAGAUAAUUGUGAUAAUUUUAAGUACCUUGGGAAUUGCGGUGUUGAGCCAUGUGAAGGAUGCUAUGUAGAAGAUGAUUGCUCUGUGCUUCUUGAAGGUCUGUCGGGCGCUACGAAUUUAACGCUGAUAAGCAAAUAUUCUAUGAAGUUUGACAUUGAAUCAAGUGAAAGCUACAACCCAUCAGAAUAUUUCUUGGUGUCGAAGCAUCUCAAGACUUCAGUUUCGAGUGGAGGGAGCUGGAUGACUAAAUCAGAUGGUUUGCUAUUCCUGAUUAUUCAGACUUCCAUGUGCCUGAAUUAA
rnacentral:rRNA from 1 species